UACGUAGGUGGCAAGCGUUAUCCGGAAUUAUUGGGCGUAAAGAGCGCGCAGGUGGUUGACUAAGUCUGAUGUGAAAGCCCACGGCUUAACCGUGGAGGGUCAUUGGAAACUGGUCGACUUGAGUGCAGAAGAGGGAAGUGGAAUUCCAUGUGUAGCGGUGAAAUGCGUAGAGAUAUGGAGGAACACCAGUGGCGAAGGCGGCUUCCUGGUCUGUAACUGACACUGAGGCGCGAAAGCGUGGGGAGCAAACAGGAUUAGAUA
rnacentral:rRNA from 1 species